rnacentral:lncRNA from 1 species
CUCACUGCAACCUCCGCCCCACCAGUUCAAGUGAUUCUCCUGUCUCAGCCUCCCGAGUAACUGGGAUUACAGGUGUGCAUCACCACACCCAGCUAAUUUUUGUAUUUUUAGUAGAGACAGAGUUUCACCUUGUUGGCCAGGCUGGUCUCGAAUUCCUGACCUCAGGAGAUCUGCCCACCUCGGCCUCCCAAAGUGCUGGGAUUACAGGCGUGAGCCACGACACCCGGCCUAGGCUUCCUUCUUUAAAGACAAAUUUCCAGUGGGGCUCUGUAAGUAAUCCUCAUAUUUUCUCGUUGAGGAGUGUGGCCAGAGAAGGUGAGUCUUCUGCACGUAGCAGGGGGGAAAUGGUCAGGAGAUACUGUAAAAGCACUAAGAAAACCGGAAGGAAAAGGCCAGGCUCCAGGAGCACAGAGACUGGAUGGAUUCCUGCUUCCCUGUCACUCGGCUCUGUUCAGGCGGUGCAGUCACUUCCUUCACCUCAGUGUCCCUGUUUGUGCAAAUGAGGUGACUAUUGGUGCCGACCUACUUCCCAGGCAGUUUUGAAGAGAAGUGGCAAACGUUGAAGGGCGCACACUCUCCUUCCCCAAGCUCCCUCCCUCCCCACGUGUGCACCCAGAAGGAAAUAAAAGCCGUAAUUUGCACUGGCGAGUCGGCCCGCCUCGUCGAGGGUUCCGCUGAGCUGCUCACAAGGGCGUGCGGAGGCCCGCGGCCGGCCCUGGCCCCUGUGGUGGCAGCAGCUGGCUGGCUUCCCGGGCGGCUACCUCCAGCUGCAGCUGUCGGUGCUAUUUGCAGCUCUCCACAUCCUGAGAGCUGGACGCCGAGGACCGCUCCCUGGAGGGCGUGCGUAAAAUGCAGCAGCGGAGCGGUGAGGAGAUUACCGGAAAAACUGGGAGCGGAGUCAGGCUCGUUCUGGAGCAGGGAGAGGCUUGGGAAGUUGCGAAACGUUGACCUGCAGGGUCUUGAGGAACUGUCGGCCUGGGCUGUCCCCGUGGGUCAUUGAACAUUAAUCAGCCACCAGUCCUCGACCAAGCCAACCGAAAUAGAGUCAGCAGGCAGAAUGACGAAUACAGUUUGAAAGGGAACGAACUUACUCUUAUUCUCUCCUUGGAAAGGCCUUUCCAGACUCUCGAACUCACCCCUGUCACAUUACCCUGUUGUGUUAUCUUUGUGGGCCUGCGCAGCACCUGAAAUGAUCUGUCUUAGGGCCGAGUACAAUGCCCAGCUCAUUUGUAAAUGAGUGAAGGAGUCCCCUACUAGCAGGCUGCCUACUCAUCAAUCAAGUAGUUGUUGGGUUUCUCAUUUUUACCUUUGGAGAUGUUGUCUUCGACCUACGGGAAGGAAUUGGAUCUAUUUGAGGAGUCAUGGUCUUGCUAUAUCACCCAAGCUGGAGUGCAGUGGCAUGAUCAUAGCUCACUGCAACCUUGAACUCCUGGGCUGGAGCAAGCCUCCCAACUUGGCCUUCCAAAAUGCUGAGAUUGAUUACAGGUGUGAGCCACCUCACUGGGCCUCUUGCUAGUUUAUUGUUUAAAAAUCUUCCUCAGGGCCGGGUGCAGUGGCUCAUGCCUGUAAUCCCAGGCCUUUGGGAGGCUGAGAUGGGAGGAUCACUUGAUCCCAGGAGUUUGAGACCAGCCCGGGCAACAUGGAGAGAGCCUGUCUCUACAAAAAAUCAGCAAUUAGCUGGGCGUGGUGGUGUGCACCUGUAGUCCCACUACUCAAGAGGCCGAGGAGGGAGGAUCACUUGAACUCAGAGGGUUGAGGCUAUAGUGAGCCAUGAUUGAGUCAUUGCACUCCAGCCUGGGCGAUAGAGUGAGACUUUGUCUCAAAAAAGAAGAAUAAAUAAAUAAAUAAAUAAAUAAUAAAAGCCUUCCUUAGACUUUUUCCCUGGCACUUUCUGAAGUGAUGGCAGAUGGGUUUUAUUCUGGUUCUUAUAAUAGCUAAAAUUGGGUCACAGAAAGGAAUCUAGAUUAGAUGACAAGAUUAUUAUUUUCAUCUGAUAAUUUCCAUUACUCACCUAACUGCUGUCUUUCCUGGAAUUAAAGAGAAAAGAAACUAUGGAGGCCGGGAGCGGUGGCUCACGCCUGUAAUCCCAGCACUUUGGGAGUCCGAGGUGGGUGGAUUGCCUAAUGUCAGGAGUUCAAGACCAGCCUGACCAACAUGGUAAAAUCCCGUCUCUACUAAGAAUACAAAAAAAAAAAAGUAGCCGGGCGUGGUGGCGGGUGCCUGUAAUCCUAGCUACUCAGGAGGCUGAGGCAGGAGAAAUGCUUGAACCUGGGAGGCGGAGGUUGCAGUGAGCCAAGAUCGCACCAUUGCACUCCAGCCUGGGCAACAAGAGUGAAACUCCAUCUCAAAAACAAACAAACAAACAAAAACUAUGGAGACCCAGGUUCCAGGGCCCUUGGGUGGAGAAUAAAUUUUAGGAAUUCCUUUGGAUAUCUGACAGUAGAAGCUAUUCCUUGUAAGUCUGUUGCUGUGAAAUCACAACAUAGCUCAUUUAGCAGCGGGACAGCCCAUCUCUGGAAAAAAAAUGGUGUGAGGGUGGAAUUACGCCUUGGGAGGCCAAGGAGGGAGGAUUGCUUGAGGCCAGGAAUUCAAGACCAGCCUGGACAACAUAGCAAGACUCUGUCUCUACAAAAAAUAAUUUUAAAAAAAUUAGGCAUGGUGGUGCAUGCCUGUAGUCCUAACCUACUUGAGAGGCUGAGGUAGGAGGACUGCUUGAACCCAGGAAGUUUAGACUGUAGUGAGCCAUGAUUGUGCCACUGCACUCCAGCCUGGGUGACAGAGCAAGACUCUGUCUCAUAAAAAAAAAAAUGAAUAAAUAACAUAGAAAAAAAGAUAUUCAUAAUAAAAUAAAAUGGAAAUAUUUUGAUGAUUUCUUAGUGAGAUUUUAAGAAUUGUUAUUAAUAGCCUACUAAGACCUAGAGGUAAGAACAAAUUAGAUUUGGCCUGAAAAUGAAGAUGUAGCAAAAAACAAUAAAGAAAAAAAUGGCAUCUCUGUUUUUUGUUUUUUGUUUUUUUUUUCAGACGGAGUCUUGCUCUUUUGCCCAGGCUAGCGUACAGUGGCAUGAUAUCAGCUCUCUGCAACCUCUGCCUCCUGGGUUCAAGCAAUUCUCCUGCCUCAGCCUCCCAAGCAGCUGGGAUCACACGCAUGCACCACCAUGCACUGCUAAAUUUUAGUAUUUUUAGUAGAGACAGGGUUUCAUCACAUUGGCCAGGCUGGUCUCAGACACCUGGCCUCAAGUGAUCUGCCUGCCUCGGCCUCCCAAAGUGCUGGGAUUACAGGCGUGAGCCACCGCGCCCUGCCAAAAUCAAUAUUAUUUUGAUUUUUUAGUAGAGACUGGCCUGGGUCAGUUGAUUCUUAAGUACAGUUAUUUAAAAACCUUUAGGACCUUAACAAUUUUUUUAAAAACUCCCAAGUUUUAUAUUUUUAUUUAUUUAUUUAUUUAUUUUUGAGACAGAGUUUCACUCUUUCGCCCAGGCUGGAAUGUAGUGGUGUGAUCUUGGCUCACUGCAACCUCUGCCUCCCGGGUUCAAGCGAUUCUCCUGCCUAAGCCUCCCGAGUAGCUGGGACUACAGGUGCAUGCCACCAUGCCGAGCUAAUUUUUAUAUUU